GACAAUCCAAUCGUUGAUGUCUUUGUUUUGCACAAAGACAUUGUCCAGGGGGGAAAGUAGAUGUAAUUUCGUACUGGAACUGAACACCCAAGUGCGCGCGCACACUUUUUUUUAUACUACAAAAAUGACAGGGUAGCCAACUCUGCUGACACUGACGACAGAUCAAUAAAAACUAUGCUGUCUGAUCCAUAUAAUCAGCCUGCGAAAAGAGGAAACACAAAUACAAUAUGACUACCAUCUAACCUGGAGGAGAAACGAUUGUCCAAAAACACAGAAAAGGGGCACUGACCCAGUGAAUAUGCACCGGGGAUAUGGCUGAUGUUCUCCCGCUGGUGCUAAUAAGAUAUGCCACUGUUCCCUCAAGACUAUUCAAGCGAUCGACUCACUGAUGCAUGAAGAUGAUGAGCUAUCAGCAAAGGCCAUCUGGAGUCCCAAGCAUCCCCUCAAACGUCAUGCGGGGGUGCCAACUUCUUGCCAGGGACCAGGCACAUAUUUGAGUUUUGAUGACAAUGACCCAAAACACACUGCCACCCGGGUUUGCAUUGCAAAUGAGGGCAUAAACUGGGUCAAGACUCCGCAGAGUCUCCUGAUUUAAACCUGAUCGAACUUGUUUGGCAUCAACUGAAAACAUUAAUCCGUAACUCUGCCAAGCCUACAAGCAAAGAUGAACUGGACCAUAAAACAAAACCUCAUCAACAGGCAUAUAUCAAAUACACCCCUCCUGGACAAGAUCACAGAGACACAGUGACUGGCACACAGACAUUGUGGAGCCAAGAGAUAAUUGGUUCCCCCUCAAUCAUCCCUUAACAUGGUUUAAAAGAUAUGUUUACAUAUGAAGACAAGCUUGACCUCUCCCCUCUCUGCGGCCCAAGUAACUGACCCCAUGACAGAGAAAGGAUAACUGCAAAUGGCCACCACCAUAGUACAACAAUAUACAUUCUAAAUGAGAAGUAACUCACAAGCAUAUAAUGAAAAUAAAACAUCUUAUCUAUGUUACCCAACUAUUCUGAUUAUUCCCCAACAGCUAUCAAGACGUUUUGGCUUGAGAAAUUGACAAUACAACAACGCAACAAAUACAUUGAUCAUCUCAGCAAGGUUUUACCCGUGGUCGUGGAGCUGGG
ensembl:lncRNA